ensembl:lncRNA
AUGGGCAGAAGUCCUUGGCAUUUACGGCUAUUUUUAAACCAGCUAGUUUUCACCUGGAUUUCAAUGCUUUGCUUCAUCUGGGGAAAUAUGCUCACCUCAACUUUGGUACAGAUGACAGGCUUUAGUGUCUCAGUCACCACAUCAGUACAGGCAGUGCACCCUGCAUAUAUUCCAAUGUUGGAGUGCACUGGCACCAGUGACAUGGAACCCACACCCCAGAUGUCAUUUCAGUCUCAGAGGAUGUGGAGGCAGGAAGGGAAGGAAGGGUGCCAAAGAGCCUAAAUGAAUGUUUCAAUUAGCAAGAUUCCUUGCCAGCCAUGCAUAACUGAAACAGGAAAAGCACAAGGAAUAGUUUUCUUCUGUAACUUUGAGCGGCUUUCUGUUUAAUUGCUGUGACAAGUGAAUAAGGCUGAAUGAACAACUGAAACUUUUCUUUUUUUUUCUUUUUUCUAGGCAAGAAGGAGAGGACAGUAAACAAUUUAAGUAUCCAAACAUCUAGGAGUUCUCCUACUUCAUGCUAAGAGAGUAACACAUGUAGAUCUGUGUUGCUCUGUGUAGCUAUGAAGGGUCACGUCCUCCAGUUCUGAAGUAAUAUUCUCACAGGAAUGUAAGGGUGGUACAGAGAAACUGAUCCAUUAAUUAACUGCAUUUGCUUCCUGGUCAGGCAAAGCCUCUGUUUCAUAAGGGAAAUGCUAUGAACCGUUGGGAUGCUAAGGAAAAGAAAAAAAGAAAAAAAGAAAAAAAAAGUAGGAUGAUUUCUUCUUUGUAUCAGCAAGAGAGAGUUGGCCCCCAAAUGCUAAGGGGUGAUUCAAGGUUGGUAAGUUUUUGUACAACAGGCCUGUUUUCCAGAGAAAUCUCUGGUCAGUUUUUCAGAUUCAAUUACUCGAAGGAGUCUUCCAAACCUUUUGUCAUGAGAACAUUUUUCACUGAUAUAAAGGCAGACUGAUUCUGUCUGGGCAACGGAGCUUUGCUCUGAGAAGAUCAGGUAAGGCAGAAGUCAUUCUGACUCCACAGCAGUGAAAAAUGGUAACAUAAAUAAAUAAAUAAAUGGAAAUGAAAAAAUAAAUAUG